AGCUACAUUAUUUACCGAUUGCGACAAAAAAAGUCAAUACUUUCUCUUCCAAAUCCUUCGUUCUCUCACGAGACAGAACUCGAGUUACUGUAGUAGCCGAAAUCUCCAGGUAUGUCUGUCUAACCUCCCGAUUCCUAAAGUCUCAAACUUUAACUUGUUACAAUACUUUCUAUGGCUAAUUCAGUGGGAAGAAGUCAGAAAGCUUAUCACUUUCAAUUUGAUUUGAGUGAAAAAAUCAAAUCUUUAUCCUGAAAGUGGUUGUGAGUCGUUGAAGAAAAAAGUUUCGAGCUUUAUCAUCAUCAUCUACCAUGAGCGUUAGAUGGCCGAGAGUGUUAACCCCAACGCUUCUCUCUCAAAUCCUAAAGAAGCAAAAGAGCCCCGUCACAGCGCUCCGUCUCUUCGACCAAGCGAAAGAGCGGUUCCCUAGCUACAACGGCCACAACGGCUCCGUCUACGCCGCCAUGAUCACCAUCCUCGGCAAAUCCAAUCACCACAUUCCUGAAAUGAAGUAUGUCAUAGAGAAGAUGAAGGAAGACUCUUGCGAGUGUAAAGACACGGUCUUUGCAUCGGCUAUUAAAACAUUCUCCAGAGCUGGGAGGCUAAACGACGCCGUUUCUCUCUUCAAGAGCCUCCGCGAGUUCAACUGCGUGAACUGGACUCUUUCCUUUGAUACUCUUAUGCACGAGAUGGUUAGAGAAGAGAAGCUCGAAGCUGCUUGUGGCUUAUUCAGAGAGUAUUGUUACGGGUGGGAGGUGAGUUCGAGAAUCAAUGCAUUGAAUCUGCUUAUGAAGGUUCUCUGCCAGGCCAACCGGUCUGAUCUUGCUUCCCACGUCUUCCAGGAGAUGAACUACCAGGGAUGUUAUCCGGACAGGGAGAGCUACAGGGUUCUGAUGAGAGGGUUUUGUCAAGAAGGGAAGCUUCACGACGCCACGCAUCUGCUGUACUCCAUGUUCUGGAGGAUCUCUCAGAAAGGCUCGGGCGAGGACGUUGUGGUUUACAGGAUGUUGUUGAACGCGUUGUGUGACGCUGGGGAGGUUGAGGAGGCUGUUGAGAUUCUUGGUAAGAUUCUGAGGAAAGGACUAAAAGCUCCGAAGAGAUGUUACCAUCAUAUCGAAGCUGGACACUGGGAAGGUACCAGUGAAAGUAGAGAACGAGUGAAGCGUUUGUUGACAGAGGCUUUGAUCAGAGGAGCUAUUCCCAGUUUGGAGAGCUAUACCGCCAUGGCUACCGAUCUUUUCGAGGAAGGGAAGGUUGCUGAAGGCGAAGAAGUGCUUCUUGCGAUGCGGAGGAGAGGCUUUGAGCCGACGCCUUUUAUCUACAGCGCCAAGGUGAAGGCAUUGUGUAGAGCCGGGAAGCUUGAAGAAGCGGUUUCUGUUAUUAACAAGGAGAUGAUGGAAGGCCAUUGCCUUCCAACUGUUGAUGUGUACAACGUUCUUAUAAGAGGCUUGUGCAACGAGGGAAAAUCGGUAGAAGCUGUUGGAUAUCUCAAAGAGAUGACUAAGCAUGUUUCUUGCGUAGCGAAUGAAGAAACAUAUCAAACUCUGGUGGAUGGUUUGUGUGGGGAUGGCAAGUUUGUGGAAGCGAGUCAGGUCAUGGAAGAGAUGUUGAUUAAAUCAUUCUUCCCUGGUGUUGAAACUUACAGUGUGUUGAUCAAAGGUCUUUGUGGUAUGGAGCGGCGGUAUGAAGCUGUGAUGUGGUUGGAAGAAAUGGUUAGUCAGGAUAUGGUACCGGAACCUUCUGUGUGGAAAGCUUUGGCUGAGUCUGUCUGCUUUGGGGCUGUUGAUGUUCUUGAGAUACUUGACCAUCUCGUUAGUAGCAAAUGUUAAAUUUUACUCAUUUUUAUAUAUCAAGUGUAGUCGUAGGAUAAAAUUUUCCUUACUAAAAUAGAUGUGGUUUUAAGAUUUCAAUGCAAUUUAUGUUAUUAAUUUAUCUCUUGUACCUUUAUAUAAAUUCAUUUUUUUU